rnacentral:rRNA from 1 species
GCCAUGGGGGACCUGAUGCAGCCAUGCCGCGUGUGUGAAGAAGGCCUUCGGGUUGUAAAGCACUUUCAGCGAGGAGGAAAGGUCAGUAGCUAAUAUCUGCUGGCUGUGACGUUACUCGCAGAAGAAGCACCGGCUAACUCCGUGCCAGCAGCCGCGGUAAUACGGAGGGUGCAAGCGUUAAUCGGAAUUACUGGGCGUAAAGCGCACGCAGGCGGUUGGAUAAGUUAGAUGUGAAAGCCCCGGGCUCAACCUGGGAAUUGCAUUUAAAACUGUCCAGCUAGAGUCUUGUAGAGGGGGUUAGAAUUCCGGGUGUAGCGUUGAAAAGCUUACAUAUCUGGAGGAACAAACUGG